CAGGGAGACAACAAAAUGUUUAAUAUUAUUAUUUUGUCACCUUAGGUCGAUCGGUACCUCACAUUCUCGAUUUAUCAAGAAUUUUAUUUCCUAAGUUUUUCUAGGUCACACCCAUUAUUUUUCCUGGGCCAUUAGCUCAGGUGGUUAGAGCGCACCCCUGAUAAGGGUGAGGUCCCUGGUUCAAGUCCAGGAUGGCCCAUAUCUCUAUGUUGGGGGUAUAGCUCAGUUGGUAGAGCGCCUGCUUUGCAAGCAGGAUGUCAGCGGUUCGAGUCCGCUUACCUCCACUGAUUACCACCUCUUCCAUAAUUAGGUAGAAAGGAAAUGUUUUGAGUUGUGAUCAAAUUCUGAACGAAUCUAGCUUCCUAAUGUAAUUAUUAAGAUGCUGGACUCAUUGAAUUAAUUUCAUUGUUUUCAGAGAACCUUGACAACUGCAUAGAUUAUUUUUAAAGACAAUAAGCAUCUUUAAUGAUGCAGAUUUAUUAUUUUUGCUAAAGCAUUAAUAACAAUUCUAUUAAGCUGAUGCUUCAAUUUUGAAGUUAUU
rnacentral:tRNA from 1 species